CCCCUUCGGGGGGUACACGAGUGGCGCACGGGUGAGUAACACGUGGGUAAUCUACCUUCAGGUCUGGGACAACUCCGGGAAACUGGAGCUAAUACCGGAUGAGACCACGAGGUCCUCGGACUUCGCGGGAAAAGAUGGCCUCUCCUUGGAAGCUAUCGCCUGUAGAUGAGCCCGCGCCCCAUUAGCUAGUUGGUGAGGUAACGGCUCACCAAGGCGACGAUGGGUAGCUGGUCUGAGAGGACGACCAGCCACACUGGAACUGAGACACGGUCCAGACUCCUACGGGAGGCAGCAGUCGGGAAUUUUGGGCAAUGGGCGAAAGCCUGACCCAGCAACGCCGCGUGAGGGAUGAAGGCCUUCGGGUCGUAAACCUCUGUCGGGAGGGAAGAACGAUCGCAAGGUGAAUAAUCUUGGGGUCUGACGGUACCUCCAAAGGAAGCGCCGGCUAACUCCGUGCCAGCAGCCGCGGUAAUACGGAGGGCGCAAGCGUUGUUCGGAAUCAUUGGGCGUAAAGCGCGUGUAGGCGGCUUGGCAAGUCGGGUGUGAAAUCCCGGGGCUCAACCCCGGAACUGCAUUCGAUACUGCCUCGCUAGAGUCCCGGAGAGGAGGGCGGAAUUCCCGGUGUAGAGGUGAAAUUCGUAGAUAUCGGGAGGAACACCAGUGGCGAAGGCGGCCCUCUGGACGGUGACUGACGCUGAGAUGCGAAAGCGUGGGGA
rnacentral:rRNA from 1 species